CUCCGUGUGGGCGCUGGAUCAGUAAGUUGCCGCUUCUGCCUCCUUCCCCUUCGUAGUAGGUAGAUCAGGGUGGGUGGCUUUAUGCUCCAUGCGCUUUCAGAAUUCCUGGCAGAUUCGAUCAAAUCAAGCCUCAAAGUGGUCUGGAUCUCAGGGCUUGCAUGAGAUUGCAGGGGUUGUGGCUCGGCGGCCAUUUUGGGCCCGAACUGCAGUCCCCAUUCCGGCAGAUCAGCCUUUCGUGUUAAGUUUGUGGGAUUCCCCAUUGGGGACUGGAAUGACCCCCACCGGUCCAGAGGGGGGGGGGAUGCGGGAUGCAAGGAGAGCUGCUGCUUAUAUCGGUC